GGGGAAAGAGCAGCCCUAUUGAGCAACAGGCAACAUUUGAAGUGUGUGUUAUGGCCUUAAAUACUGCUGCUCCCCACUAGAGCUUGGUGCAAUUACUGAAAUUCAGGCAAUGUUACUGGCAGUUGCUGGCAGUGCUGAACCUUGAUCUCCACUGCCCUAAUGCAAGAUUAAAACGGCACGUGCAACUCUGUUGAUGCUAAAGUGGCAAAGAAAACAACCAGGAAUUAUUCAAUGUGGAAAAAGAUGUGUCCACCAAAUGGGAAUUUGGCAGCUCCGUGCCUCUCAUCUUUCAUCUCCUAAAUACAGAUGACAGUCUAUCAGAGCACAAGGACAGCGACAUGAAGGGACGCGGCUCCCUCUGCUGGACAUUCCUGCAGAAUUGAGGCACAUCCCCCCAGAGAUGUGUGAGAUGAGCAGUGCUGUUUCACCUCCUUAUUCAUCAUGAGGCUUAUUUUAAGGAAGAAAACCCUUCCACAGCAAGAUAAGAACCCGGAGACUGCUGUUGCUGUCAGGGUUUCAUGCUGGAUGAGCUCUUUCUUGGGAUGCGUGCCAUUUGGCCAAUAUUGUUGCAGCCCAUUUUGCCUCAGAAAACUACAAAAAUGUCAAUUGUUGCUCCACGCAAAGACAUGGAGGGAGAGGAUCCAGCCACACCAUCCCCAGUUCCAUAUAGAAACAUUUCAAAUGCA